UGACUAAAAUUAACAGUUAAAACUUAGGGCGGAACUCCGGCCGGGCUGUAAAAAGCCAUAAGCCACACUAACCCUUGCCCCUAACACCAUACAACUUUGACUCAUGAAAGCUAAGGUACAAACUAAGAUUAGAUACCCUACUAUGCCUAGCCGUAACACACAAUUAAACUACCAAUUGUUCGCCAAACAACUACGAGCCAUACUUGAAACUUAAAAGACUUGACGGUACUUCAUCACGGCCUAGAGGAGCCUGUCUAAUAACCGACAAUCCACGAUUAACCCAGCCCCUUCUUGCCCAACAGUCUAUAUACCACCGUCGCCAGCUUACCUUGUAAAAGAAAUAAAGUGAGCUAGAUAGUACAACACUAAAACGACAGGUCGAGGUGUAACUUAUGAAGGGGACCAAGAUGGGCUACAUUCUCCAACCGAGAAUACGAAUAACACUAUGAAACUAAUGUUUGAAGGCGGAUUUAGCAGUAAGAUAAGAAUAAAACACUUAACUGAACACAACGCAAUGAAGUGCGUACACACCGCCCGUCAUCCCUGCCACCACAAUAUAAACCUUAAUAAACUAACCUAAAAAAUCAAACAGGGCAAGUCGU
rnacentral:rRNA from 1 species